rnacentral:hammerhead_ribozyme from 1 species
AUACUGCCGAUGAGUCUCAAACUAGGAUGAAACGGCUGUCCAGUAU